rnacentral:rRNA from 1 species
AUUCCUGGUGUAGCGGUGGAAUGCGCAGAUAUCAGGAGGAACACCGAUGGCGAAGGCAGGUCUCUGGGCAGUAACUGACGCUGAGGAGCGAAAGCAUGGGGAGCGAACAGGAUUAGAUACCCUGGUAGUCCAUGCUGUAAACGGUGGGCGUUAGGUGUGGGGACCGGUUUGGUUUCUGUGCCGUAGCUAACGCAUUAAGCGCCCCGCCUGGGGAGUACGGCCGCAAGGCUAAAACUCAAAGGAAUUGACGGGGGCCCGCACAAGCGGCGGAGCAUGUGGAUUAAUUCGAUGCAACGCGAAGAACCUUACCUGGGUUUGACAUGCACCAGACGGUUGUAGAGAUACGUACCUCCCUUUGUGGUUGGUGUGCAGGUGGUGCAUGGUUGUCGUCAGCUCGUGUCGUGAGAUGUUGGGUUAAGUCCCGCAACGAGCGCAACCCUUGUCUUAUGUUGCCAGCACUUUGGGUGGGGACUCAUGAGAGACUGCCGGGGUUAACUCGGAGGAAGGUGGGGAUGACGUCAAAUCAUCAUGCCCUUUAUGCCCAGGGCUUCACACAUGCUACAAUGGUUAGUACAACGCGCUGCGAACCUGUGAGGGUGAGCGAAUCGCUGAAAGCUAAUCUCAGUUCGGAUUGGGGUCUGCAACUCGACCCCAUGAAGUCGGAGUCGCUAGUAAUCGCAGAUCAGCAAUGCUGCGGUGAAUACGUUCCCGGGCCUUGUACACACCGCCCGUCACGUCAUGAAAGUUGGUAACACCCGAAGCCCAUGGCCU